rnacentral:rRNA from 1 species
ACACCGGGGGCGAAGGCGGUGGUCUGGGCCGGAACUGACGCUGAGGAGCGAAAGCGUGGGUAGCAAACAGGAUUAGAUACCCUGGUAGUCCACGCCGUAAACGUUGGGCACUAGGUGUGGGGCCCUAUCGACGGGCUCCGUGCCGUAGCUAACGCAUUAAGUGCCCCGCCUGGGGAGUACGGCCGCAAGGCUAAAACUCAAAGGAAUUGACG